AAUUUCCCAUUCGAGAUCAUGUGCGAUGCUUCAGAUUAUGCAGUAGGAGCAGUUUUGGGCCAGCGGAUUGAUAAAAAGCUGCAUGUGAUCUACUACGCGAGCAGAACGAUGGAUGAUGCACAGGUAAGGUAUGCCACUACAGAGAAGGAACUGCUAGCUGGGGUAUUUGCAUUCGAGAAAUUUAAAAGCUACCUAGUGGGCUCUAAGGUGACAGUCUACACUGAUCAUGCUGCUCUGAGGCAUAUAUACGCGAAGAAAGAUACCAAACAUAGGAUCUUAUUGCUCUAAGAGUUCGACAUGGAGAUAGUUGAUAAGAAGGGAAUUGAAAACGGUGUAGCUGAUCAUCUAUCUAGAAUGAGAAUUGAAGACGAGGUCCCUAUUGACGACUCCAUGUCAGAAGAACAGCUAAUAGCAAUUCAGCAACUUAACGAGAGUGCUCAAAUUCGGAAAUCACUCGAUCAAGUAUGUGCAAUUGAAGAAAAGCU
rnacentral:sRNA from 1 species